CGCCGGGGGGGCCUUGGCCUUGCUGCGGCCCCGCCUGGCCGGGCCCCGGCGGCGUCUGGGUCUGGCUGGGGAGGGUGAAGUCGGUGAACUCGAACUCGGAGCCCUGAGUGUCGGCGCCGAGCAGCUCGGCCUCCUCGGUGUCCAGGAAGGUGGUUUUGAAAAGAUCUCAAGUGCUGUGACGCCGAGUGGUUGUUUUUACAAAGGCCUCUAAUGCAAAAAAAGCCCUUUUUUCGCCAGCUAAAAACGCCUCAGGAAGGUGUCAUCCUGUAAAUUGAAGAAUUAUUCUGUAAAUUGAAGAAUUAUUCUGUAAAUUGAAGAAUUUCUUGAAGGUGCCAGAAUUGAAGUGCAAUGAGAAAUGCAAGUCCAGCCUUGAUUUCAGGGGUUCAGCUGUGGCUGCAUAAAGUAUUCCCAAAACAAGGCAUGGGAACGUCACUUGGAGCAGUGAAGGAAAAGGAGGAGGAGAUUUUGACAUUUCUCCAGUGAGCUGGAAUGGAAAAGGUCCUUGGAAAUUAAGGUGAUGAGGGGCAUUUAAAGAUAACAUCGAUAUAUGAAAGCCAGGAAAUGGAACUUGCUGUUUCACUAAGCACCAAAAAGCCAAUAAACUUGUUAAAAUGU